AUGCAGUGAUGAACUUGAAUUUCUUCAACUGAAACACUCCUUGAUGCUUUUGAGCUUUUUAACCCUGAGCAUU
ensembl:snoRNA SNORD36 Small nucleolar RNA SNORD36